rnacentral:rRNA from 1 species
UGGCUAAGUUAGUCCCCUGUUAAAUCCACCGAAUUAAUCGUUGGAUUGCGGGGGAAACUGCUUGGCUAGGGGACGAGAGAGGCAGACGGUAUUUCCGGGGUAGGGGUGAAAUCCUAUAAUCCCGGGAAGACCACCAGUGGCGAAGGCUGUCUGCUAGAACGCGCCCGACGGUGAGGGAUGAAAGCUGGGGGAGCGAACCGGAUUAGAUACCCGGGUAGUCCCAGUUGUAAACGAUGCAGGCUAGGUGUUUGGACGGCCACGUGCCGUUCUAGUGCCGCAGGGAAGCUGUUAAGCCUGCCGCCUGGGGAGUACGAUCGCAAGAUUGAAACUUAAAGGAAUUGGCGGGGGAGCACCACAAGGGGUGAAGCUUGCGGUUUAAUUGGAGUCAACGCCGGAAAUCUCGCCGGGAGCGACAGCAGUGUGAAGGCCAGAUUAAAGGUCUUGCCAGACGAGCUGAGAGGAGGUGCAUGGCCGUCGCCAGUUCGUGCCGUGAGGUGUCCUGUUAAGUCAGGCAACGAUCGAGACCCGCGUCCUCUGUUGCAACUAGCCUUGUGCUGGGCACACUGAGGAGACCGCCACUGAUAAAGUGGAGGAAGGAGCGGGCCACGGCAGGUCCGCAUGCC